AAGAGCCCAGUGCUGCUCAGUGUGUGUGCGGGCCCUUCAGAGCCACUCCCACACCAACAACACAAUGAGCCUGAUGUCCCUGCAGCUGUUCCUGCUGGCCCUGGGGCUCCUGGUUCGGGGUUCUUCAGGAGAAAUCAGCCUGACUCAGACUCCUAAAGCUGCAGCUGUGGACAAAGGAGCCUCUGUUACUCUCAGGUGUCAGGCUAGUACAGGUAUUUCUAAUUGUCUGCACUGGUAUCUCCAGAAAGGCACUGAACCUCCAAAGCUCCUCAUAUAUGACACAACAAAUCGUCACUCUGGAAUCUCCAGUCGUUUCAGUGGAAGUGGUUCAGGAUCUGAUUAUUCUCUGACUAUCACUGGAUUUGAGGCUGAAGAUGUAAGAGUUUAUUACUGUCAGCAGCGUUACAGCUUCCCGUUCACACAGUGAAAAAGACUCACUUAGUUUGACACAGAUGCUGCAGAUACUUAACACUCAUAUUCAUUAUCUGAUCAUUUUCUUUAAGUUUUAAUUGUGUUUGAUAAAAUAAAAUUAAUAACAUUAAUACAUUAA